CAGAAAUUUCCCUCACGAAAUGUAUAUAUAAAAUGAUUCACCCACUCCUUCAAACCCCAUAAAUCUCUCUCUGAAUGUAAGAACUGCAUUAACAAUGUUAAACAAUUAACAUUGAUUGAUCAUAUUAGCUUUCUUGGAGAGUUCUUGACAAGCUUUGAUCCACACACAGUGAUGGUGAAAGGAGGGAGGUACAUGCACAAUUGGGUCGAAGUUGCACCGCCGCUAAUGAUCUCCCAUGAAAAAUGUUCAAAUUCUCCAAAAUUAGAGACUAUUGUUGAAGAGGGAUCCGAGAACUUUGAGAUUCUGUCGAAACGAGUGGUGUUUCUUCUUCCAGUAUUUCUUUAUUUUAUUUCUUACCUUAUAUUGUAUCGACAGAUUGCUUGAUGUACCUAUGUGGGGAAGUUUCCACAUGUGAAAUAUAUUAGCAGAUUAGAAUGUGAGGCGUUUUGAUCACCUUCUGAGAUGUUAUAAUACUUUUGCAAAAAAAAAGAAAAAGAAAGAAACCUGAAUUUAAUUGUUUCCAAAUUUUCACCUCUCUCUUUCUCGCUCUCAUUUUUCUGGUUAUUAGGGACUAAAUGCAUGCAUGAAACCUGAUGCAAUGGAAUGUUGAGAGGAAAUAACUAAUCCUGUAGUUACUGUAUUUCUUUAUGUAAAAUAUUAAGGAAAACCCGC
rnacentral:lncRNA from 1 species